rnacentral:sRNA from 1 species
CCUUAAACUUUUCCUCUUCAAUUGUUUUUAAUUUCCGUUUUUCUUUAAAUGCCUUCACUUCUUAAGUGAGCGGAAGGAGCUAAGGGCUGAAAGAAAAGGCCCAGUGAGAAGGAAAUCACUUCUGGCUUUUCAGACCUUUUCACUUGUCCCUUUCUCCACCGUUGGCCCAAGAUUCACACCCGGCAACUGAGUUUUAGACCUCUUCCUUCAUUCAGGGCCUAGACCAGAGUCUGCACUUAGCCUUCAGUAUAAAUAGUUGGAUAAAGGAUAGCUUCCUUGGGCGGAAUGCCCUCAGAUCAGCUCACUUUGAGGGUGUAGUUUUUUUUUUUUUUCUACUCAGCUGAAAGGCAGAUAAACACAUAUGUUUUACAUUGGUGUUAUUUAUAUAGCUAUGCCCCCAAAGGGGGGGGGUAAAGUUGUUGGAAAUAUUUUUCUUGGUCUUGUUCAUAUACAUAUAUGCUGUGAAUUUUAGGAUGUUGAAGUUACUCUUAAGGCGUUUCCUUUACAUUUUGAUGUCUUUAAAAAACGAUUUUACUUCUUUCAUAAGAGGUGAAGACCUUGCAAAAUGAAGCUAAUCUCUUUUAGAAACUAAGAGAUUUCUUACCUCCUGCUGCUUUAUUACAAUUGAACACUUUUUCAACCGAGUCACUUUCUUUGUUGUGUUUCGAAUGGUUUGAUGAUUCUUAUUCUUUAUCAUAACUUUUAUUUUUUUGAAUGCCGUAACCAUUUUUUUAUAUAACCAGGCAAGCAAUUUUAGGUUUGGAAAUGUGUAAGACUAAAUUCAGUCAGUUGGUACAUACAUAUUAAAUACAUAUUCUACUGAGCACCAGUUGUGUAAUCCACGGACUAUUCCCUAGAGCGUUUUAAGUCCUACUCUCAUUGAUUGUAAAAUAGUGAAAUUAUAUAACCAAUGAGCUAAUAAGCAUGAAACUAAUUUGAAAGGUUAUAAUUGCUAAUCAAAUGUAAAGCAUAUUUAUUAGCAUCAUUAUUAAAAGGUGCCAGAGGAUACAGAUAAAACCUGUUCCUAUCCUCUGGGAACUUACAAUCUAGUUGGGCAUAAAUAAUGAAAUGUAAAUUGAUAGAAAGAGCUCCUAAGCAGUGUUCAGUGUCUGGCGUAUUGAAGACAGAAAAUGAUUGCCUCACAUUAAUUUGUAGCCCUGACAUUCUUUUAACAGAAAUAUAAUACUGUAAGUAAUGGAAGGAUUAAUUAGGAAAAAAUUUCAUGGAAAAAAUGAAUUUGUCCUUCUUAAGUCAUGUGUGAAGAUUGGGGGCAUAUAAGCUGUUUGCUUGUGAGGGAUAAAAUGGUAUUAAGUGUGGGAUAGGAAAAACGCGAGGUGAAAGUGUAAACAACCUUACAAGAUCAUUAUUAUUGAUACAUUUCUAUAAAAUUUUGUUAAUUAGAUGUAUGCAUGGGGCAUGGGCAUGUGAAUGAAGGGAUAUGAGGAAGCCAGAGAAAUCAGAGCUCUCUGGAGAUGGAGUUACAGGCAGCUGUGAGCCACCGACAACACGGUGCUGAGAACCAAACAGGCUUCUCUGGAAGAGCAGCUUUGGCUCUUGACUUCUGGGCCAUCUCUUCCAUCCCCUGACACUUACUUCUACAUGAUUCUAUCUAAACUCUGAAUGUAAAGAAAAUUGAAGAGGAUUAAGAAAAGAUUCAGGGCUAAAGACUUUCAAAGACGAUCUGGGACAUUAUCAUCGCUUGUAAUCAAAAAGAAAAUAUUGCCCGUGAUAUUCUAUUUCUAAAAUUUAAUGGACCAUUUGAAUUGUCUACCCGUACAUUAGUAAAGCGUGAACUUUCAAGCAUGGAACUUUCAGGGCUGCUGAGAACUGUCUGGAACUCUCGAGUCCCUUUUUCUAAAAGUUAUUUUUGUAAAUUGCUGUAACAGUGGCUCAUCAGUCACUCUGAAAGGAAGUGAUCCUUGAUUAACAGUUGGCUGACACCAAGCUCCACAGAUGUGUAGCAACAGUACAGGUGCGACUUACAAAACAAGACAGAGCUUUACUCCUCCUUGGUACAAGGAAGGCUGGCAUGAUCAUCCACUUCACAUUAGAGGGUGUCUUAUCCACCAGUGUGCUGACACCAAGCAGGAAUUUCCAAGUAGAGAGCAGACUCCCUGUAGUCACAUGUCCCUGGUGAAAAUUGCUUCAUCAUUCUUCAGAAGGAAAAAAAUAAAAAGAAGAAGCAGAUUCUCUUCAGAAUCCUCUAUUCUCAGAAUGACUAGACAGAACUUUAUGCCAAAAUUCUUGCUCAUCUUCCUAUCUUCUAGUUCCAUAAAUAAAAAUAAAAUGUUAAUAAAUGGA